CGGGGCUGUUUCUAUCCUCGUGAGCCGCCUUUAAUUCCCUUCGACCACACCACCUCUCGGAUGUCGGGAAACCUUCAUGGGCCUGCCAAGCCACAGGAGGCUCCGGGGUUUGUGCAACUCCCGAGGUUGAGUCACCAGCCCCGUGAGAGCCCCUCUGGCCCAGAGCUCCGCGCAUCCCACACACUGUGUGCGCAUUGGCACAUGCCCAGUGGUGAAUGGAGGGCACCGAAGCGGCCACCGUGCAACCUCAGCGCCAUGGGACAGAUGUGCUUCUUACUGUGCCUGCACUGGGGCCUUCCAGUAGGCCUUCUCUGGUGCAGAGAACGUUUUCAAAGAUGUCACCAAAAAAUAGAUGUUGUUUUGAAAUAUUCCAGCAAAGUAAAAUGACAACAUAGAUGUUCUCUAAGAGCCGUGUUUCCUAAGAUCUCAACACCCACAACUGGCUUAAUAGAUGGAAUUAAAUGUUGAACUUUGUGUAAAUAUGGCUGAAUGCAUGGCAAUGAGAAGUUUUUGUGUUGUAAGGAACUCCCCAAAUUCAUUUCCCCAUGCACUUUAAAGGUGGGCUCUAAAAAGUGUGACUCCCAGUGCAUGUCUUUUUUCAGAAAUCUGGUCUCACAGCAUCCUUGGUUCCUGCAGAGGCUGGAAACCUCCCCUACGAGGACAGGGUGAGAGAGCUGGCGCUCUUCAGCUUGAAAAAGAGAAGGCUCCAAGGAGACCUUAUAGCAGCCUACCAGUACCUGAAGGGGGCCUACAGGAAAGCCGGGGAGGGACUUCUUAUAUGGGCAGGUAGUGACAGGACAAGGGGAAAUGGCUUUAAACUGGAAGAGGGUAGAUUUAGACUAGAUAUUAGGAAGAAAUUCUUUACUGUGAGGGUGGUGAGACACUGGAACAGGUUGCCCAGCAAGGUUGUGGACGCCCCCUCCCUGGAAACAUUCAAGGCCAGGCUGUUUGGGGCUUUGAGGAACCUGGUCUAGAGGGAGGUGUCCCUGCCUAUAGCAGGGGGUUGGAACUAGAUGAUCUUAAAGGUCCCUUCCAACCCAAACCAUUCUAUGAUUCUAUGAAAAUUAUUACUUAGAUAGACAUUGAUCUAUAUUGCAGGAUUAUGGAUGUCAGCCCUAGGAGCUGGCACAGUUGGCUUCCUGAGGACUACAGCUUAGCCUUCUGCAGUGGGCGUUGCUGGAAACUAGUGGCGUGCCCCAUCUUUUCUAUUUGCUACUUUGCUUACAAAUAGUGUUGGUCUCUUGAAGUCUGGUAGAAAAAUAUCCCUACCACAAUGAAGAUUUAACAGAUAUUUGAAAUACAAAUGUAGUAAAAUUUGCUUAAACAGCAGAAUGAUAGAUCAUGCUGGUUUUGUAUGCUGAUAAUUUAAUUGUAAAGUCAGUAUAUUUUUUCAUACACAAGUACUUACAUAAUUUUAAAUUCCAUAGUUUUUAGUAAAGCGCUCUUAAAGUGCUCUUAAGUUUAGGCUUUUUUAUGAUGUCACCUUUAAACUGGCAAUCAAGUGCUACUUUUCUGAAGGAGUACAGUUUGGAAUGAAAAGUAUUGCUGAAAGGAGUGGUAGCAACUAACUAUUUUGGUAAUAGACCUUUAUAUCCUUCUAGAAGGUUAAUUAAAAGCCACUAUACUUCGUUUUCUAUGCUUUUAUGCUUCAGCAUGGACUAUGCGCUUGUUUUGGAAAGCAUUAACUAUCAAGGUACAGGCUGUUGCAGAACUCAGCCACCCUAAAUUGCCAAAUAAAUUCCUAUUCUGUAAGGAGUUUCUUUGUUUC
ensembl:lncRNA